rnacentral:rRNA from 1 species
UACGUAGGGGGCAAGCGUUGUCCGGAAUUAUUGGGCGUAAAGAGCGUGUAGGCGGUCCGGUAAGUCGGCUGUGAAAGCCCAGGGCUCAACCCUGGGAUGCCGGUCGAUACUGCCGGACUAGAGUUCGGAAGAGGCGAGUGGAAUUCCCGGUGUAGCGUUGAAAUGCGCAGAUAUCGGGAGGAACACCUAUGGCGAAGGCAGCUCGCUGGGACGUUACUGACGCUGAGACGCGAAAGCGUGGGGAGCAAACAGG